GAUGAAGAACGUAGCGAAAUGCGAUAAGUAAUGUGAAUUGCAGAAUUCAGUGAAUCAUCGAAUCUUUGAACGCACAUUGCGCCCGCCAGUAUUCUGGCGGGCAUGCCUGUUCGAGCGUCAUUUCAACCCUCAAGCCCAGCUUGGUGUUGGGGAUCGGCACAGGCGCCCUCGGGCGCCCGCCGUCCCCUAAAUCUAGUGGCGGUCCCGCUGCAGCCUCCUCUGCGUAGUAGUUUUCUCCUCGCAAGGGCAGCUCGGUGGCGACCUCGCCGUAAAACCCCCAACUUCUGAAAGUUUGACCUCGAAUCAGGUAGGAAUACCCGCUGAACUUAAGCAUAUCAAUAAGCGGAGGA
rnacentral:misc_RNA from 1 species